GAUCAGAUAGCUUAACGGUAAAGCUUUAGACUGAAGCUCUAACUACCAUGGUUCGACUCCAUGUCUGAUCA